GUGGGUGGAUUUAAUAUGUAUCAUCAGUUCACCCUUUAGAGUAUGAGAAUUCUAAACUACAAUCAAAUUAUAUUCAAUUAUUCAUUCAUAAGGUGACUCGGCCAGCGAACCAAGGUGAGGCUUCGUCGCACUCGAGGCACACAUAGUGUCAUAGAGUACACAAUUGCAACAUCCCACGCGGCCAUGUAUCAGCGUAUGCCAUGCCGAUGGAGAACCAGUCUAAGUGUCCCCUCCAUUCUGCACCUAUCAAUCUCUUUGAUAUUCCUCUCGCCUACUAUUAACAAUUGCAGAGUAAGAUCUUUUUAGGUCAAGAACAUUCAAAAGCAUGGUGAGACAACUGAAUGGGACAGGAAAGCAAGUGACAUGCAUUCUACAAAGUAGUAUGAAAUUAAUAGGCAAAUAGCUAAUAAAAUAAAAAUAAUGUUACUUGGUGCAUUAUAUGUGUCACCUGAUAUGCCUUCCCUUCUUUGGCCUCCCAUAUACAUACAUCUUAUAGCCCUCAUUUGGAUCUCCUUCCCAGUUCCCAGUGUUAAAUUUCCAAGUCUUAUAAACCUGAAGAUAUUUAUCAAGAAUGUAGAAAUGUAAUUUUCAGAGGCUUAUAUAGUUGCACUACAUUUCCAUAGGGAAACAAUAUCAUCGAAGAGUGAUAGUCAUUAUGCUUGUUAGUAGGGAGUAGUAAGUUCCUGUUCGGAAGCUGUCGCAUAAAGAUAACGACAUCAUGCUCCUCUUGCUCAUCCCUCAUAACAUCUUCAAUUUUUAAGAGAGAGGCCCAAUGCUCCACCUCUAGUAAAUGCCAGUUUGCUGAUGCAUUACUGACAAGAUAAUCAUGGUUACCUAUCCAAGCAUUGUCAUACACCCCAUUUCCCCUACCAUCAUGCUAUUGAAUUUAAUACAAUACAAAAAUAGCAGAGAACAAAGUAAGGUGACCAUACUUAAGCUUGAAAACACUGGUAAAAAAUACAAAUCAUGCACUGGGAAUAGUCAGUGGGAAUUGACCAUACAUACCUAAUCGAGAAGUGGUAAACUAACAAAUGGUGAGAAAGAUUAGCAGUUGAGCCCAACCUCGGUCAGUAUGAAGCGAAUACCAUCUAUGCGUAGUACAUAUUGGCUAUAGGAUCAUAUAAUGUCUGGACGAACUUGAGCCCUUGCUGCCAUAUUACAGGGAAGAGAGAUGGAUAGCAGAUGCACCAUCCUUCAGUUUCUCAUUACUGACAAGAUAUUCUGUUUUUCAGUCAAGUUUCAGAAAGCUCAUACUAAAUUAUUCAAAACUACAAAGGAAAUUCACAGAAGUACAAAAAAUAUUUUUUUUUGAAAAAUAGAAGCCCUAUGAAUUGUUUUUAUUUACCCAAUCUAGAAAAGCAGCACUGAAUAAAAGUGUUUGUAGCUCGGUAGCAUCCUCAACCUUUCCUGCCACUUUUAGCAAUACUGUGCCUUUGAAAUAAUGUGCCCAAUAAAUCUUAUUAUUGCCAAAAAAAUUUAAAUAGGUCAUUAAUGGCUUUCAGUUGCUAAUCAUCUUGAAGGAAAGAUGUAUAUGAACCAAUAGAAUAACCCUGGUCCUUUCCUUCAGUAAAAGAACCAUAGAGGAUUAAACGAAAACUAUUUUUGAUGAAAGCACAAAUACAUGAGUGGACAAAAAAGUAAUUAAUGCUCAAAAUUCAGAGCUUCUUUUUUUUUGCAGACUAACCUGUUUAUCAGAGUAUUAGUAUGUGAUUCACCUAUAUUUAUUUUGUCAAACAUUAGAUGCAAUAUUCCGUGUUGAGGUUUUCAGAUGAAGGCAAAUUCCUGACACCUUUGAAGUGAAACUUUAAUGAGCUAGAGAGCUAUUAUCCAUUUUCAUGUACUCUGUAUUUAAAUGAACUUGGUUGUAUUUCAUAUAAACUUUAGGCAGUUUAUUACUACCUGCAAGUGAUAGCAAUUCUACUAAUUCAACAAAAUUGACAUCUACUAUGAUGCAAGUGAUAGCAAGUUAGCCAAUUUGUCAUGGUUGCUUGUCAGACUCUGAAGGAAACAUCCAAGAAUCCCUAUCUGAGUAUCUCAAAUCAGAUCCAUUCAACCAAAAAUCCACAACACUAUGAUGAUAUAAAAAAUAUUAUAUUUAGUUUGCAAUUGGGAAUCAGAUCAUGUAUUCUGAAUAAAAGGCAUUUAUUUUGCAAUUGAGAAUCCAACAAGGAUAUAUUACCUUGAAGCUUGUUGCUCUCUUAGCCGAGACAAAAGUGAAAUAAUUUCUUCUUGUCCUAAAAGAAAAAUCAUUAAACAACCAAUUCAUAAGGCGAGAAAAGAAACCAAGGAACUUGAGAGAGCAUAAUCGCUUACUAUGUGGUUGUAUACCUGUGUUUAAUCUGCUUGAAGAACUAAUAGCUCAGAAUAACACUUAGAGAGACUUCACAGUUUACUUUUCUGUUGGCCAUAAGUAUUUAAGGUUCCAGCACGGCCAACAAGACCCUGUCCACUAUGCAUUGCAAACAAGACAUGCAGUGGACACAAUUUUUACAGUUCAGGCAAAAGAUUGUUCCAAUAUGAUUAGUUUGUUUAAGAGUAACUACAGAGGGUAAAGUACAAGUAGAAUGGUUCCCAAAUACAUAAUAAGACAUAAUAUCAAUUUAAAUGUUGGAUACAAAUAGGCCAAACAAUAUUUUUACACACAAAAAAGAUGUGAAAGAAUAAAGUCCAAUGUGACAAGAGAUGCAUUUGAUUCCUGAACUGAAAUACGACAGCAUCUAAUGCAAAUGCAGGGAGUAAGCCUUCAGAGUAGGUACCGAUGGUAAAACCCAAAUCAUGCAGUAUGUACUUCUCAGCUGCAUUCUGUAGGCAAGUACAUACUUCUCAGCUAGGUAAGUCUGUAGCUAAUCUCUAGUAGUAUUCCAAUCAGAGUAGACAUCUAAGUAUUUCGCUAAGCUGUAAUAAAUACUUCUCAGCUAGGUAUUUCUCUAAUCUAUAGAAUGUACUUCGAUCUACUCAAUUUGCGCACAAAUGCACAUCAUUAAAAUCAGAAAAAAACAAAGUAAAACUCAUUAGUACAUCCGCUGCCAGGGAUGUUUGCUUGUGCACGUACCAAACUUGAGGGAUUGGCCAGCUUAUCAAUGCUCUGGCAUGAUAUCGCCUUCUGCCCGGCGUCGACAGCCCUCGCGUGAGCACAAAUUCCAUACCGCCCCCACAAACUACUCGUCCUUGCAAGGCUG
rnacentral:lncRNA from 1 species